CAGGCUCUAGAAGUAAUCGCUUGAAAUAUAGAGGAAAGUCCGGGCUCCAUAGGACACGAUGCUGGCUAACGGCCAGGAGCAGUAAUGCUACAGAAAGUGCAACAGAGAGGAGACCGCCGAAAGGUAAGGGUGAAAGGGUAGUGUAAGAGACUACCGCUUGGAUGGUGACAUACAAGGCAUGGUAAACCUCAUCGGGAGCAAGGCCAAAUAUGUGAGUGGUUUGUCCGACUAUACUCACGGGUAGGCUGCUUGAGCUUAGGAGUAAUCUUAAGCCUAGAUAGAUGAUUACAUAAACAGAACUCGGCUUAUCUGGAACCUGUUAU
rnacentral:RNase_P_RNA from 1 species